rnacentral:rRNA from 1 species
AUGCCUAGUACGGCGAGUGAAGCGGCAACAGCUCAAAUUUGAAAGCUGGCUCCGGCCCGCAUUGUAAUUUGCAGAGGAUGCUUUUGGCGAGGUGCCUUCCGAGUUCCCUGGAACGGGACGCCAUAGAGGGUGAGAGCCCCGUAUGGAUGGACACCAAACCUGUGUAAAGCUCCUUCAACGAGUCGAGUAGUUUGGGAAUGCUGCUCUAAAUGGGAGGUAAAUCUCUUCUAAAGCUAAAUACCGGCCAGAGACCGAUAGCGCACAAGUAGAGUGAUCGAAAGAUGAAAAGCACCUUGAAAAGGGGGUUAAACAGUACGUGAAAUUGUUGAAAGGGAAGCGCUUGUGACCAGACUUGCGCCGGGCAGCUCAUCAGGGGUUCUCCCCUGUGCACUCUGCCCGGCUCAGGCCAGCAUCGGUUCUCGUGGGAGGAUAAGAACAGUGGGAACGUGGCCCCCUCUCGGGGGGGUGUUAUAGCCCAUUGUACGAUACUCUCGUGGGGACCGAGGUUCGCGCUCCGCAAGGAUGCUGGCGUAAUGGUCAUCAGCGACCCGUCUUAACAC